GAUGCCAAGACGGCAUCAGCAAAACUGCCCGAAGACA
rnacentral:tRNA from 1 species